rnacentral:rRNA from 1 species
UGGGGAAUAUUGCACAAUGGGCGAAAGCCUGAUGCAGCGACGCCGCGUGCGGGAUGAAGGCCUUCGGGUUGUAAACCGCUUUUGAUUGGGAGCAAGCGAGAGUGAGUGUACCUUUCGAAUAAGCACCGGCUAACUACGUGCCAGCAGCCGCGGUAAUACGUAGGGUGCAAGCGUUAUCCGGAAUUAUUGGGCGUAAAGAGCUCGUAGGCGGUUUGUCGCGUCUGGUGUGAAAGUCCAUCGCUUAACGGUGGAUCUGCGCC